rnacentral:piRNA from 1 species
UCUAACCAUGCCUAGGAUGUAGAAGGUGU